AGAGAGAGAGAGGCAGAUAUAGAAAUAGUGAGAGAACAUCUGUUACUCAUUCUGUUUUGUGGUUUUGUGGGUUAGAAUGCAUUUCUAAAAUGCAUUUCGAUUUUCAAAUUCAAGCUCAGCUCUCGAUUCGCUCAAUGUAUUCCUGAGUAAAGAGGCCCCCGGUAGCCUCGGCGUCCCCCUUUGGAGCUGCAGCUGCUAACCCGCAGUUGUGUUUUGUUGUGUUGCCCAAAACUGUCAACAUUUGCAGCCGGUCAGGCUGGCAGGCCUGGCUGUCCAGUGCAAACGUUAUGAUAAUCACCGACAACGAUGCGGCGUCAGCAUCGGCCGAGGGACCAAUGGGAUAACGGCACAGCGAACUUCAUCUGGUGCGGGUUCAGAUACGCACACAUGAACGCACGAGCGCAAGGACGAGCGCUGGACGCAGGACAUCAGUCUGAUGCUGAUGACCACAGUGAAACCAUCCGGCCUGUCCACAAACUGUCCAAAUAUGUGUUGGUUUUGUUGCCGUUCGCACAGUGCCAAGUGAAUUGUCUGCAUCGAAACGAAACGAAACGGAGUGGAUUGGAAUGGAAUGGAAUCGGAACGGCAUCGCCAUCGCCGGGCGCAAUGAUGAGCGAAAAAUUGACAUGCAUGUAAUUAGUGACAUAAGGACAUCUGCAUCUGCAUCUGGAUCGCUAUAUGCCAACGACUGCUGUUUGCCUGAUGACCUCCACACACACACACACUCACACACACAUAGGUAUACAUACAUGCAUGCAUACGUAUAUCAAUUAUGCCGUUUACGUCCUCGCUAACAGCCAACUCUGACUUUUCGUUUGGGUAAAAAUUAAUUUUCGGUUAAGCAAUCUGAAAUCUAUAACGAACUCACAAGCACCUACAAUCGAAAUGAAAAUGUUUCAUUCCAGCAUUCCAAAGUACUAAAGGAGCUCAUAUUGAAUGCAUUUAAUCACGCAUCACUUCAGAUCAUUUGAUAUCAUGUGAUAUUCAUUAAUUGUUUCAUUUCAGCGUUCCAUUUUUGUGUUCCAUUUCUAUAAUACUCUACUAUUUGCAUUGUUUUUUAUAUUAUUUAGCAAUAAAGAAAUUCAUGACUUAA